rnacentral:tRNA from 1 species
CAAGAGGUAUUUUAUCUAUUAGAAUCCUGGCUUUGGGGGUCAGGGGCGGGGGUGAAAAUCCCCCCUUCUUGA